rnacentral:rRNA from 1 species
UACGUAGGGGGCAAGCGUUGUCCGGAAUCAUUGGGCGUAAAGCGCGUGUAGGCGGCCUUGUAAGUCCGUUCUGAAAGCCCGGGGCUCAACCCCGGGAGGCGGAUGGAUACUGCAAGGCUCGAGUCCGGAAGAGGCAAGUGGAAUUCCCGGUGUAGCGGUGAAAUGCGCAGAUAUCGGGAGGAACACCAACGGCGAAGGCAGCUUGCUGGGACGGUACUGACGCUGAGACGCGAAAGCGUGGGGAGCAAACAGG